rnacentral:lncRNA from 10 species
AGAUAGACCAUAUGAUAGGCAAUAAAAUAAACCUCAAUAAAUUUAAGAAAGUUGAAAUUAUAUCAAGCACUCUCUCACACCACAGUGGAAUAAAACUGGAAAUCGACUCCAAAAGGAACCUUCAAAACCAUGCAAAUACAUGGAAAUUAAAUAACCUGCUCCUGAAUGAAUAUUGGGUCAAAAACAAAAUCAAGAUGGAAAUUAAAAAAUUCUUCAAACUGAACGACAAUAAUGACACAACCUUUCAAAACCUCUAGGAUACAGCUAAGGUGGUGCUAAGACCAUAGCCCUAAACGCCCACAUCAAAAAGCCUGAAAGAGCACAAAUAAAUGAUCUAAGGUCACACCUCAAGGAACUAGAGAAACAAGAACAAACCAAACCCAAACACCAGCAAAAGAAAGGAAAUAACCAAGAUUAGAGCAGAACUAAAUGAAAUUGAAACAAAAAAUAAAAUACAAAAGAUAAAUGAAACAAACAGCUGGUUCUUUGGAAAGAUAAAUAAAAUUGAUAGGCCAUUAGCAAGAUUAACCAAGAAAAGAAGAUAGAAAAUCCAAAUACCCUCACUAUGAAAUGAAACAGGAGACAUUACAACUGGCACAACUGAAAUUCAAAGGAUCAUUCAAGGCUAUUACAAACACAUUUACGCACAUAAACUAGAAAACCUAGCAGAGAUGGAUAAAUUCCUGGAAAAAAUAUAACCGUCCUAGCUUAAAUCAGGAAGAAUUAGAUACCCUGAACAGACCAAUAACAAGCAGCAAGAUUGAAAUGGUAAUUUUAAAAUUACCGACAAAUAAAGUCCAGGACCAGAGAGAUUCACAGCAGAAUUCUACCAGACAUUCAAAGAAGAAUUGGUACCAAUCCUUUUGACACUAUUGCACAAAAUAGAAAGAAGGAACCCUCCCUAAUUCAUUCUACAAAGCCAACAUCACCCUAAUAGCAAAACCAGGAAAGGACACAACCAAAAAAGAAAACUACAGACAGAGGCAGGAAGGCUGUGGCUGUCCUCUCCUUAUCCAACAACUCCAGAGACAUCUUGUAUUGUGACAAGUGUCAAUGCCCAGGCGACUGUGUUUUUUUUUCAAACAUAGUCUUUUUAAAGACAACAAACCAUUGCUAGUAAAGAAAAGGAUUGGAAACGAAAGGGCUCUCAGUGUGAGCCACUCCAACAGGAUUAUCUGUCCCAGGUGAGAUUCUGCAUAGUUUCCGGAGCAGAGAGGUUACCAGAGGAUUAUCUGCUUCCUCAUUCUCUAUUUCAGGUUCCUAGACUUUAAAAGCAUAAUGCUAAGAAUGAUGAUUGUAAUAAUGGAUCACAUUUGUAGAGCAUUUACUAGUUGCCAGGCAAUGUGGUAAGCUUGUUACCUGAAUUACCCACAUUUUAUCCUCAUCAUAACUCUAGGAGGCAAUAACCCCGAGCAGUCAUUUAUGCUUUUAGAGUUAAAAGUCUGCCAUUCAUCAAACUAGCAGGAUUUUUAUAAGCUUCCUCCUACCUGAUUUAUUUUAAAAGGCAUUUUAACCGCCGCCCAAAAGGUUUUCUUCUGCAAAAUAAAAUGUGAUACCCUACAUUUUCCAGAGGAGAAAGAUGUUUCUCAUUUAAAUUGUGCUCAGCAAAUAGAUCUAAGAAAGCAAUAUAAUCAAAUGAAAUUAAAUACAAAUUUGUUUUGAUUUAAUUAGAAAAAAAUGUGUAUUGUUUUUCCUAUUUAUCCAACCCAACAUAUGAGAAAAAAAAUCAUAAAGUGGGAUGAAACUUAUAGUUCCACAACAGCAUGACAGGGAGUAUAAAUGGAUACACUCUCUCAGAAAGACAUAGAAGCUCAGCAAAGUAUUACAUUUAUUAACGUAAUACUUUAAAAAAUUGAUACAGAUCAUUUAUUAUAAAAAUUAAAAUAGUUCUAAAACCAGGGUUAGAAUUCUCCUCCUCCCACCCUUUGCAACUAGAGAAGGUGGGUGAGGAGAGGGAGGAGGGAUAGGAGGGAGAGGAGGAGGAGAGAGGAUAUAAGAGGCGGGAAGGAGGAAUAGGAAGAGCCGCAGGAGGAGGACGGGUUGGGAGGAAGGUGCAAUAACUUGUCAUUCUGACCUUCGGUCUUUUUUGAGACCCAGGUGUUGAUGUGUUUCCUGGACUCUUCUGCAGCUCUGAUAAAGGAAAGCUCCUUCAGCUCAGCAUGGUAGAAUUGAAGACAGGAUUCCUU